rnacentral:rRNA from 1 species
AGGUUAAGUUAACAAGGGCGCAUGGUGAAUGCCUUGGCACUAGGAGCCGAUGAAGGACGGGACUAACACCGAUAUGCUUCGGGGAGCUGUACGUAAGCUAUGAUCCGGAGAUUUCCGAAUGGGGCAACCCAGCAGUUUUUAAUCAACUGUUACCACUAGAUGAAUUCAUAGUCUAGUUGGAGGUAAACGCUGUGAACUGAAACAUCUCAUUAGCAGCAGGAAUAUAAAGAAAUUUCGAUUCCCUAAGUAGCGGCGAGCGAACGGGGAACAGCCCAAACCAAAGUGCUUGCACUUUGGGGUUGUAGGACUGAACAUUUGAGUUACCAAAGAACUUGAUAGUCGAAGGAUUUGGGAAAAUCCGCCAUAGAUGGUGAUAGCCCAGUAGAUUAAAUCAAAUUCUCUCAGUUCAGGAUCCUGAGUACGGCGGAACACGUGAAAUUCCGUCGGAAUCCGGGAGGACCAUCUCCCAAGGCUAAAUACUACCUAGUGACCGAUAGUGAACCAGUACCGUGAGGGAAAGGUGAAAAGCACCCCGGGAGGGGAGUGAAAUAGUUCCUGAAACCAUGUGCCUACAAUAAGUCAGAGCGCGUUAAUGCGUGAUGGCGUGCCUUUUGUAGAAUGAACCGGCGAGUUAUGAUCCCGUGCAAGGUUAAGACUAAAAAGUCGGAGCCGUAGCGAAAGCGAGUCUGAAAUGGGCGUUUUGAGUACGAGGUUAUAGACCCGAAACCAGGUGACCUAUCCAUGUCCAGGUUGAAGGUGCGGUAAAACGCACUGGAGGACCGAACCCGUGUAAGUUGAAAAUUGCUGGGAUGAGGUGUGGAUAGCGGUGAAAUUCCAAACGAACUUGGAGAUAGCUGGUUCUCUCCGAAAUAGCUUUAGGGCUAGCCUCGGAAUUAGGAUCAUGGAGGUAGAGCACUAUUUGGACUAGGGGCCCGUCUUGGGUUACUGAAUUCAGAUAAACUCCGAAUGCCAUUGAUUCAUAUCCGGGAGUCAGACGAUGAGUGAUAAGAUCCACCGUCGAAAGGGGAACAGCCCAGACCAUCAGUUAAGGUCCCUAAAUGUAUGCUAAGUGGAAAAGGAUGUGGAGUUGCAUAGACAACUAGGAUGUUGGCUCAGAAGCAGCCACCAUUUAAAGAGUGCGUAAUAGCUCACUAGUCGAGUGAUCCUGCGCCGAAAAAUGUACCGGGGCUAAGCAUACUACCGAAACCAUGGAUGCGACCAUUAGGUCGCGUGAUAGGAGAGCGUUCUAAGGGCGGUGAAGCAAGAUCGUGAGGACUUGUGGAGCGCUUAGAAGUGAGAAUGCCGGUAUGAGUAGCGAAAGAUAGGUGAGAAUCCUAUCCACCGAAUGACUAAGGUUUCCUGGGGAAGGCUCGUCCUCCCAGGGUUAGUCGGGACCUAAGUCGAGGCCGAGAGGCGUAGACGAUGGAUAACAGGUUGAGAUUCCUGUACUAGUUAAGUGCGUUUGAGCAAUGGAGGGACGCAGGAGGCUAAGAUGUGCAUUCUGUUGGAUUAGAAUGUCCAAGCAGUAAGUCUUGUGAAGAGUCAAAUGCUUUUCACUUUAAGGACAAGCUGUGAUGGGGAGCGAAAUUUAGUAGCGAAGCGUCUGAUGUCACACUGCCGAGAAAAGCUUCUAGUGAGUACUUAACUACCCGUACCGCAAACCGACACAGGUAGUCGAGGAGAGAAUCCUAAGGUGAGCGAGUGAACUCUCGUUAAGGAACUCGGCAAAAUGACCCCGUAACUUCGGGAGAAGGGGUGCUGAUCGCAAGAUCAGCCGCAGUGAAUAGGCCCAGGCGACUGUUUAUCAAAAACACAGGUCUCUGCAAAAUCGUAAGAUGACGUAUAGGGGCUGACGCCUGCCCGGUGCUGGAAGGUUAAAAGGAUGGGUUAGCUUCGGCGAAGCUCAGAAUUGAAGCCCCAGUAAACGGCGGCCGUAACUAUAACGGUCCUAAGGUAGCGAAAUUCCUUGUCGGGUAAGUUCCGACCCGCACGAAAGGCGUAACGAUCUGGGCACUGUCUCAACGAGAGACUCGGUGAAAUUAUAUUGUCCGUGAAGAUGCGGACUACCCGCGACAGGACGGAAAGACCCCAUGGAGCUUUACUGUAGCUUGAUAUUGAGUGUUUGUACAGCUUGUACAGGAUAGGUAGGAGCCAUAGAAACCGGAACGCUAGUUUCGGUGGAGGCGUUGGUGGGAUACUACCCUCGCUGUAUGACCACUCUAACCCGCACCACUAAUCGUGGUGGGAGACAGUGUCAGGUGGGCAGUUUGACUGGGGCGGUCGCCUCCUAAAAAGUAACGGAGGCGCCCAAAGGUUCCCUCAGAAUGGUUGGAAAUCAUUCGCAGAGUGUAAAGGCACAAGGGAGCUUGACUGCGAGACAGACAGGUCGAGCAGGGACGAAAGUCGGGCUUAGUGAUCCGGUGGUACCGUAUGGAAGGGCCAUCGCUCAACGGAUAAAAGCUACCCUGGGGAUAACAGGCUUAUCUCCCCCAAGAGUCCACAUCGACGGGGAGGUUUGGCACCUCGAUGUCGGCUCAUCGCAUCCUGGGGCUGUAGUCGGUCCCAAGGGUUGGGCUGUUCGCCCAUUAAAGCGGUACGCGAGCUGGGUUCAGAACGUCGUGAGACAGUUCGGUCCCUAUCCGUCGCGGGCGUAGGAAAUUUGAGAGGAUCUGUCCUUAGUACGAGAGGACCGGGAUGGACAUACCUCUGGUGUACCAGUUGUGCCGCCAGGCGCAUCGCUGGGUAGCUACGUAUGGAUGUGAUAAACGCUGAAAGCAUCUAAGUGUGAAACACACCUCGAGAUGAGAUUUCCCAUUCCUUUAUGGAAGUAAGACCCCUGAAAGAUGAUCAGGUAGAUAGGUUAGAAGUGGCAGUGCGGUGACGCAUGAAGCGGACUAAUACUAAUCGGUCGAGGACUUAACCAAG